ensembl:lncRNA LINC01828 long intergenic non-protein coding RNA 1828
CCCAGGAAUUGCUGCCAAAGUCGGCCUUUGGUGCAGCUGUAAGUCGGAUGGAAUCCACCUUCCUGACGUCAGACCCACCCACUGGAACACUGCUCCUCUGACUGGGGCUUCCCUGAAUGGAAACUACAUGUCAUACUGCAAAAGACAGGGUCUCACUAUGUUGCCCAGGCUGGUCUCAAAUUCCUUCUCAAGUGAUCCUCCCACCUCAACCUCCCAAAGUGCUGGGAUUGCAGGCAUGAGCCACUGCACCCAGCAGAAAUUCUUAACGAGGCAAGGCCAACAGAGGCCAUUCAUUCAACAUCACGGCACCAUAGUGGCCUCUUUUUAAGACUCCUCAGGUUCCAGAUAGAUUUCAUCACUCAAGAUAAGCAAAUGAACCACAGAAUUUUGAAGUUAGAGGUAAUUACAGCAAUGAUCUUAGCCAGCCCCCAUACAUUUUGGGACACACAGGUUCAGGACUGCCUGCCCUGGAGCUGAUUCCAUAAGAUACCCAAACAACUUCUGAAAGAGAAAAAAGUCUUUGUCUCAGUUUCUGCUCUCCAGAGGUAACCCAAAGAGGUAAGGAACCCAGUGAGAAAGACAGAGAGAAGUAUGGACAAGAAACAGAUCCUAAACCUGUUUUGUUUUAUUUUUGGUAGUAGUUGUUUAUUUUUGAAAACAUUCAAACCACCUGUAUUGGUGGCUGUUAUUAUGAAAUAAAUAAACUGAGAAACAACAAGACAAUUUGGCCUCUACAAUUUGUUUAGUUUUGACUAAGUAUUUGCCUUGGAAGAAGUAUGUGUACAAUACUCAUUUUUAAAAGAUGCAACAGUCACCUCGUUACUUGGAGUUUUACUUGAGACUUGAAUGGACUGAAACCACCUGGUCACCACUAGAAGCUACAUCAAGGAAAAGAAAGGCAACAUAUUGAAUCUCUUGGGAGAAACUCAUCCUGUAUCUGCUCGAUUGAAAACAUGAAGGUGCACAUUCCAAGCUGCAUAUGCUCAGACUCUGCAAAGUUGGCCUCUGAAAAGUUGGUACCAAGUUACAUAACCAUCAAAAAUGAUAUUUAGUGGCUGAGGGUGAGACACACAACUGUGAUUCUAACAAGAAUAUGACACUGGAGAGGAUAUCUAUGAGAUGACUGGCAGACUCCACACCAAUGAUCCUGACAGGUUUGGGUUGAAUCAAAUGAUGAAAGGAACUAAAUAAUACCACAGAUGAUACAGAUGGCUUGCACCAGUGUGGCAAUAGUUUAACUAGUAACUCUACAAUUGCUGGACAAUCUUUAAUUUUUUUGUGAUGACAUUAUUAUUUUAAAGAAAAGUCAAACAAAUACUUGGUUCUUUAAGAUUUUCACAGCAGCACUUUAUAUAUGCCCUAUAAAUUUUUAUAUAAUUUAUAAUAAAAUAUGUGAUAUACUUU